rnacentral:rRNA from 1 species
AUUGAACGCUGGCGGCAGGCCUAACACAUGCAAGUCGAACGAGUGGCGGACGGGUGAGUAAUGUCUGGGAAACUGCCCGAUGGAGGGGGAUAACUACUGGAAACGGUAGCUAAUACCGCAUACCAUCGGAUGUGCCCAGAUGGGAUUAGCUAGUAGGUGGGGUAACGGCUCACCUAGGCGACGAUCCCUAGCUGGUCUGAGAGGAUGACCAGCCACACGGGAACGGAGACACGGCCAAUACUCUGACGGGGGGCAGAAGGGGGUAAUAUUGCAAAAUGGGGGCAAGCCUGAUGUAGCCAUGCCGCGUGAAUGAAGAAGUCCUUCGGGUUGUAAAGUAUUUUCAGCGAGGAGGCGUUACUCGCAGAAGAAGCACCGGCUAACUCCGUGCCAGCAGCCGCGGUAAUAC